GCCAGCGUGGUAUAGUGGUUUGAGCACUGGAUUACAACUCUAGAGACCAGGGUUUGAAUCCCCUCAAGCG